rnacentral:rRNA from 1 species
UACGUAGGGGGCGAGCGUUGUCCGGAAUCAUUGGGCGUAAAGAGCGUGUAGGCGGCUUGGCAAGUCGGACGUGAAAGCCCGCGGCUCAACCGCGGAUUGUCGUUGGAAACUGCCUCGCUAGAGUCCGGAAGAGGAGAGCGGAAUUCCUGGUGUAGCGGUGGAAUGCGCAGAUAUCAGGAAGAACACCCGUGGCGAAGGCGGCUCUCUGGGACGGUACUGACGCUGAGACGCGAAAGCGUGGGGAGCGAACAGG